UAAUUUUGUAAAGUUAAACCUUAAUUUUAAAAGAUGCAGAGAAAGAGAAGACAGUGAAGAGAUGAAGAAAGAAAGAAAGAAAGAGAAUAAUGAGAGACAGGGUUUGUGUGUGCUAGGAAUUUAGUGUGGUCAGCUUUUGAAUUUAUCGGUAAAUGGUGAAUUAUCACUGCCGUUAAGCAAAAGAUCUGCUGCUACUGCAACUUCACUGUUACUGCUACUGCAUGCAUGGUUGGAAACCCCAUAACUCUCACUCUUUUCUGCUCUCCCUAUUCAAAUCCUCAGGUGACGUAAUCUUCUACCUCUCCCUCUGUCAACAAUUAUUUUUUUCUCAUCAUUUUCCUCUUUACUUCUCCUUUUAAUAUACUAACUAAUAACUUUUUUUU
rnacentral:lncRNA from 1 species